rnacentral:lncRNA from 1 species
UGAAUGGCGUUAAGAACACAAAACGAAUCGAGCAGUCAAUUAGAUCGACUCCAGUACUUGUCGGGUAUUUUUUUUUUUUUAUCGAGCAAAGUUGACUUGGCAAGAUUUGAUCUCCGGGUGUUAAGAACCAGAAUAAGUACCGCAAGGCAUUUUGUCCGACACCCUCACAUUUCUGCUGAUAAUGAUAACCAUAAGUAACUUCCUUAGUUUUUCUCUAUUCGGUAAUACUCAAGUGCCUCUCUUUACCUUACCCUGCUAUGAUUACUACUACUUCCACCACCAACGUACCAGCCAUUCUUUGUUGUUCUUCCUCUCUCUCUCUCCCCCUCUUUCUAUCUCUGUUUCUCUCUCUCUGCUACUGCUAUGAUUAAACAGUUGCUUGGUACGUCAAACUAGUUGCUCGCUAAGCAUCAACAGUUUAUAUAUAUAUAUAUUUAUAUAUAUGUACAUAUAAAUAUAUGUAUAUAGAUAUAUAUAUAUAGUUUAUAUGUAUACAUAUGUUUUUGUGUUUUGUCUGUUAGUUGCACUGGUGUGUUGUUUCUAAUCGAGUCGAGUGAUACAAAUCGAGUCGUAACUAUUUGCAAGAAUAGUGGAAUAACAACAACAACAAGACUAACAACAGUUACAAUUACCAUCAAUUGAUAAUUAAAAAAGUAUUGUGGAAAAAAAUUUUCCAACAAAUUAUUUUAUAUCUGACGGAGGAGAUAUAUACGUCUAUAUAAAUCCAAGUCUGAAAUAUCGAACAACACUUUCGAAGGGAGGGAAAACGUAACAACUAUAUUGUCACUUGUUAUAAAGUUAUUUCACGAAUUUGAGGGAAUUUAACAUAUCUAGUUGAAAGAGAAAAUACUUUACGAAAUAGAAUCAAAAUAAUAUAUAACUAAAAGAAAGAAAAAAAGAUACAGUCAUCUUCGCCGUCAGCGGAUUUUGCUUAUUUUCUUUUACUUGAUAUAUUUACCACCGGCAAUACAAGUUACCUUUCUCUUUCUACAAACAAACAACUCGAGACUUAACUAUGGCAGACGUUACUGAGAAUGGCCUCUACGAACGUACUUAUAAAUCAUCGAAAGACUCGGGCAAGUCGUCAUCAGGGUAUCAGCUGACUUCUACCUACGUUCGACCCCGGCUAACGGCUGACGGAGGAAGCGGGCAUGCAGACAGUGGUGGGUUACUCAACAAAACACCUAGCUAGCAUUCCUGCAUGGGUUGGCUGCUCUUAUUACUGUUGUUGCUGUGGUUGCUGCGGCAUCUCUUGCUGCAUGCAACCUCAGCGACUACAGAAGGAUUUGUCAUUU